CUCAGGUAAACUUCCUGGUUGCUUAAAAAUAAUUUGUUUUAUCUCUAAAGAGACUGAAAGAAUGGAUAAAUCUGCUGCAGCAAAGCAAUAGAGCUUUUGAGUUCAUGUAGCACAUGUAGAAGAAACCUACUGUUAGGAAGAGCUGAUGAUUCGUCUCCAGUUUCAUAUGGCAGAAAUCUCCAAAUCUAAAGAGCCCCUCCAGAAGUGGCCAACAAGGCUGAUACCACUGAAGAGGAUGAUGAGGGAAGCAGAGAAACAAAAGGAAGAGGCAAAGAGGCUGAUUGAUGAUCCCCAUCUCAUCAGUAGCCUUUUUAAAAGGAAGGAAACACACCAAAAGUUCCUCACUCCAAGCUCCCUGGAACCUCCAUGUGGAUUGAGGGCUGUGUGACCUUUAACUUCAUCUUUCCAUGACAAUAAGCACCACAAAAGUCAACGACUGGAGUACAUUUGUGACAGUAUUUGCAGAAACAAAUCCAGAAAAUCCUUCUGGGGUUCUUAGUAACCUUCCAAACGCUGAAUAAUAAAUAAGCCCUUUGAAGUGAGUACA
rnacentral:lncRNA from 1 species